ACACUGGGAAGGUCUGAGGCCAGGGCCUCUCCUCCUUCUCUGCAGUGAGCAUGAUAGCCUGGACGAGCCCGUCCCGAGCUUGUUCCAGGCUGAAGGCGCUGCGAA
rnacentral:ribozyme from 13 species